UGCAAAAUAAUGAAGUAUGAUUUAUACAUCCUUUUGAAUGUUAUAUCACUAUGAAAGCAUUUACUUUUGCUGCCAUUUAUUUGUUUAGUUUAAAAUAAUAAUGUAUGUUUCUUAUUUAAUAAGGUGUAAUCCUUCUGGAGCCGCAAGAAGUUUAAGCCAAGUCAAAAUGAAACACAAAAACAUUCUGCAAAAAGCUAAUGGAAAGAAGACUGAAGCCCACCACCACCUCCCCUCACCCCAUCCGAGGAGCUGGCUCUGUCCCUUAAUAAAGAGCAUCCAGGGGGCAGUUCAUCACACACACCAUGCACCACAAGUGAUGAAAUAAACUGAUGGACGGAUUGUAUUAUUGGACUCUCCAGAAAGAACACAGUCUGUCACAGUUGUAAGUGAUU